GGGAAUCUUGGACAAUGGGCGCAAGCCUGAUCCAGCCAUGCCGCGUGAGUGAAGAAGGCCUUAGGGUUGUAAACUCUUUCGCCGGAGAAGAUAAUGACGGUAUCCGGAGAAGAAGCCCCGGCUAACUUCGUGCCAGCAGCCGCGGUAAUACGAAGGGGCUAGCGUUGUUCGGAAUUACUGGGCGUAAAGCGCACGUAGGCGGGUUUGCAAGUAGGGGUGAAAUCCCAGGGCUCAACCCUGGAACUGCCUUCUAGACUGCAAGCCUGGAGGUCAGGAGAGGCGAGUGGAAUACCGAGUGUAGAGGUGAAAUUCGUAGAUAUUCGGUGGAACACCAGUGGCGAAGGCGACUCGCUGGACUGAUACUGACGCUGAGGUGCGAAAGCGUGGGGAGCAAACAG
rnacentral:rRNA from 1 species